rnacentral:rRNA from 1 species
UACAGAGGGGGCAAGCGUUGUUCGGAAUUACUGGGCGUAAAGGGCGCGUAGGCGGCCUGCUAAGUCGAACGUGAAAUCCCCGGGCUUAACCCGGGAACUGCGUCCGAUACUGGCUGGCUUGAAUCCGGGAGAGGGAUGCGGAAUUCCUGGUGUAGCGGUGGAAUGCGCAGAUAUCAGGAGGAACACCGAUGGCGAAGGCAGUUCUCUGGGCCGUAACUGACGCUGAGGAGCGAAAGCGUGGGGAGCGAACAGG